GUGGGGAAUAUUGGGCAAUGGGGGAAACCCUGACCCAGCGACGCCGCGUGAGGGAAGAAGGCCUUAGGGUCGUAAACCUCUGUUGGGUGGGAAGAAGAGCGUGACGGUACCACACGAGGAAGUCCCGGCUAACUACGUGCCAGCAGCCGCGGUAAUACGUAGGGGACGAGCGUUGUCCGGAUUUACUGGGCGUAAAGGGCGCGUAGGCGGUCAUUUAAGUCAGCUGUGAAAUGGUUUGGCUUAACCGGAUCAUGCGGUUGAAACUGGAUGACUGGAGUGCUGGAGAGGCAAGUGGAAUUCCCAGUGUAGCGGUGAAAUGCGUAGAUAUUGGGAAGAACACCGGUGGCGAAGGCGACUUGCUGGCCAGCAACUGACGCUGAGGCGCGAAAGCCAGGGGAGCAAACGGGAUUAGAUACCCCAGUAGUCC
rnacentral:rRNA from 1 species